rnacentral:lncRNA from 1 species
GUGAGCUUUUAGGUGUGGAAUACCUCUAUCAGCAAACUGGCAAAGUUCUGCAGGACUACAAAGUGGUCAUUGAAGAGUCUGAGACCACUGAAGUUGAGAUAGAUGAGGGCUUCACAGGACAUGACAGUACCCACACUAGAGGCAGAGCAAGCACUUCUCGCCUCACAAGCAUCUGCAGUUGUUCCUGGUUCCUCAGCAGCUCCAUCUCCUCAGGCUACUGCCUUUGUGCCUCCCAUUCCCCCCGUUAUCCCUCUGUUGCCAGUGACUCAGUCACAUGUCGCCUCAUCAUAAGCUUCUGCAGCUCCUUCACCUGCUGUGACCGCUCUGCUCCCCCAUUCCACACAAACAGUUUCUCCUGCAGAACAGUCUACAUCAGCGCCAUCUACUGAUCCAUCUCCACACUCCUCCUCAUGCCAUGUAAGAAGUUGUUUACCUUAAAGAAAAAAAAAAGAAAAGUUGCAAUAGCUUGGACUGAUGAGUGUGCACUGCUGUCAUCAGUGGUUCUUUUUUCUUGUUUUUGUUUUUGUUAGGAUUGGGUUGGCCCUGAUAACAUUGAAGGGUAUGGCGCAGUGCAGGAUCUGGCUGAUUACUUGGCUGGACUAAGAGACCACCAUCUUGCGCUGACUCAGGAGGAAUGUAGUCAGGUCAUUGCUCUGUGGCAGGAACUGUGGGAGUAUGACAAAAAAAAAAAACUGUCUACCCAGCUCGACACCAGACCAGCCUAAGCAAGGGACGAUUCCGGGCUACGAAGAAGAUUGUGGCUCCAGGUGUGGAGAGCACCAAAAGGUGAAUUAAACUAGGAAAACACAAUAUCUUGGUUAUGUAAAAAAAGUUAAAUAUAAUGUAAGUCACACAUUAUUGUAAUGUUUUUAAAGCAUACAUUAUUUUUAACUACAGUCCUGCACAGUGGCCCGACUGCAACAGAGUGGUUGAGGCCAUCUUUGUCAAGCUUUUUGCCAUCGACCCGAGCACUGUGCGCUGUGAGGGAAAGAAGCUGUCAAGAUACACUGUGGU